rnacentral:rRNA from 1 species
GAUGAACGCUGGCGGCGUGCCUAAUACAUGCAAGUCGAGCGAACAGACGAGGAGCUUGCUCCUUUGACGUUAGCGGCGGACGGGUGAGUAACACGUGGGUAACCUACCUAUAAGACUGGGAUAACUUCGGGAAACCGGAGCUAAUACCGGAUAAUAUUUCGAACCGCAUGGUUCGAUAGUGAAAGAUGGCUCUGCUAUCACUUAUAGAUGGACCUGCGCCGUAUUAGCUAGUUGGUAAGGUAACGGCUUACCAAGGCAACGAUACGUAGCCGACCUGAGAGGGUGAUCGGCCACACUGGAACUGAGACACGGUCCAGACUCCUACGGGAGGCAGCAGUAGGGAAUCUUCCGCAAUGGGCGAAAGCCUGACGGAGCAACGCCGCGUGAGUGAUGAAGGUCUUCGGAUCGUAAAACUCUGUUAUUAGGGAAGAACAAACGUGUAAGUAACUGUGCACGUCUUGACGGUACCUAAUCAGAAAGCCACGGCUAACUACG